rnacentral:rRNA from 1 species
UACGUAGGGUCCGAGCGUUGUCCGGAAUUACUGGGCGUAAAGAGCUCGUAGGUGGUUUGUCACGUUGUUCGUGAAAACCCACAGCUCAACUGUGGGCGUGCGAGCGAUACGGGCAGACUAGAGUACUGCAGGGGAGACUGGAAUUCCUGGUGUAGCGGUGGAAUGCGCAGAUAUCAGGAGGAACAUCAGUGGCGAAGGCGACUGCCUGGCCCAACACUGACGCUGAGGUGCGAAAGCGUGGGUAGCAAACAGG